UCUCCGUAGGUGAACCUGCGGAAGGAUCAUUAUUGCAUAACCGAGGUCCGAGGGCUGUCGCUGACCAUACAGUACUUGCACGCCAGAGUUAACUCACACACAUCCAACAAACCCCAAUCUACAUCGCCGCGAGAAUCCGCGUUAGUCUUUUUCGGGGGUGGGCUUUCGUUUUCACACACACUUUAUAGGCAGUGCAGAAGGCAUUUUUUGUUUUUGCAAUCACGCAAUCAUUACAACUUUCAACCACGGAUCUCUUGGCUCUCGCAUCGAUGAAGAACC
rnacentral:misc_RNA from 1 species